rnacentral:rRNA from 1 species
UACAGAGGGUGCGAGCGUUAAUCGGAAUUACUGGGCGUAAAGCGUGCGUAGACGGUUAUUUAAGUCGGAUGUGAAAGCCCCGGGCUCAACCUGGGAAUUGCAUUCGAGACUGAAUAGCUAGGGUGCGGUAGAGGGAAGCGGAAUUUCCGGUGUAGCGGUGAAAUGCGUGGAUAUCGGAAGGAACAUCAGUGGCGAAAGCGGCUUCCUGGACCAGCACCGACGUUCAGGCACGAAAGCGUGGGGAGCAAACAGG